GAAAGCCGUAUGAGGGAAAACCUCACGUACGGUUUGAUGAGGGGCCAGAGGGUAAAACCUCUGGCCUACUCUAC
rnacentral:ncRNA from 1 species